CUGGGCUGUCUCGCCUCGUUCAAAUGCAACUGAUGGCGUCAGAUAACUUCUACAAUACGUGUUGCUUAAUGAAGGAAACAACCUUGUGUUUGGGGCAUUGCGUAAGAUUACAUCACCGGAUAAAUAUGCAUUAGGGCUGACUUCCUUACUGAGGAAAGUUGGUGAUAGCACACAACAAAAUGAAGUAUUUACUCUUCUUAGCCUGAAGCAGAUGGAGACAAUGGGGCGUUGGCACAGAGAUUCUUAAUAUGAAAGAAUCUGUUUACUGGCAGAAACACCAAGGUUUCUGCAGCUUCACCAAGAAUCAUUCUGGUAACAUAUUGUACUGUACCGGCCAUCUUGAGUCAUGCAGUCCUGUCCUUGCAGUCAAUUAAUAAUACCUGCCUAACUAACCUUCUCUAAUUAUCACAGCUUUUGUGCAUCUAAAUAAACACUGUACUAGUUGGCUUUUUUCUGAGUUGAGUGUUUUUAUUCUAAAUAUUGGAUCCUGCUUUUUUUUAAAUCUUGUGGAAAUACUUUAGGAUUUGUAAUCGGUGAUC